UUCACCUUGUUUUUCAUGAUCAUCAUCAUGUUCACUGGUGUGUUCAGUGGAAAAUGUGGGUCAUGUGACUCUCUCCUGGUACAAAGGAAACAGUUUAUUGUC